GCUUCAGUACUAAAUUUCAUAGGAAAUAGGUUGUGUGACAAACAAAGUAUUAAAAGUUCUUUAAGUAUGUACAGCAAACGUCAUCAAAGAAGAUUAAUUAAUGCCGAAAUAAAUGAAAUUAUAAAUACAUAUAAAUAAUUCAAAUGACAAUAAUUAUAAUCUUAGUGAAUGUGACAAUGAUAAUGAAAAUGUGGUUGAAAUUAACAAUGAAAAUUCUAGAACUGAAAAUGUGAAUGAAAGUAGUUAGGUUGUUGACUUAAAACAAUGGGCAGUGAAAAAUAAAUUUAUACUUAAAUUUGUUAGUGACUGCACAUAAUUUUCUACAUAAACAUUUUUAUUUUAGAGCAGGCAAAAUCUAUUGCAGCCUUAAUAAGCAGCCAGGCACAGAACAAUUUGCUGAUAAAGCAAGUGCUUAAUAAAGUGGAGAAGAAAACAAGAUUCCCAGUUUGCGACGCAAUGCAACUCACGGAAAUUGAAGAUGAUGUUUCCAAAAAUAAAGAUAUAUACGCAAGUCUAAGUCGGUGUAUCAGGUGUCUAUUAUAAAAAACAUUAUUGUAUCAAUUGGAGUUACAAACGGAAUGAAAAAAAUUCUCAGCGAUAGCAUCAUGGUGCAGUUAAAUUAUGAUGGACUGCAAGACAAGUUUGAGUGCCUAAAUAAUGCCAUAUAUGAAGCAAUGCAAGUGGAAGGUUUCACUAAAGGCGAUUAUGAGCGGGAGCUCAAAAGAGCUUUCAAGAUGGGUAAAAACCGAUAUCACGAAGCGGGCUCUUUGAAAAAGCAAAAAGAUAAACAAAUAUAAUAAAUUAAAGUAUGAAAACAAUGAAUUUAAGUGACAUUGACAUUAUUUUUAAAUGUAAAAUCUUAAUUAUAGUAAUUUGUACUGAAAUGGAUUUCUUUAUUAUUUCUAAUUGAAUUAAAAAAUAUAAAACUAUAAGA